rnacentral:lncRNA from 1 species
UCCUUCUACAAGAGCUGCUUAUUUUCAGUCUCCUAGCUAAACAAGUUACUCUAACACAAACCUUUUAAGAGAAUCCUCAUCCAGCUUUGGCUUCUCUAUCCCAGCAACUUUUCCAUCUUCCUUUCACCAUAAGCCCUAUUGCUUUGCUUCCAGCUCCCUAGCUAAUAACACUAUCAGAACAAAAGAAAGAAUUCAGCUAGCACCUUCAGCACUCAAUAUAUCUCAUCUAGUGUAACCAGAAAUACAAGCCACCUGUGAGCUGAGGCUCCCACAUUACACAAACCUGCCAGGUUGAUGUAGUUUGUGCUAAUUAGUAAAAUACUUAAGCUUUCACUUCUCCAUUGCAAGGCUGUAUCUUGUUAUGUAUGAAGUGGGGGGAAGAGAAUGAUUUCACACAGAAACCGCUCUCUUUGUUCUAGGUUUUUGGCAGGAGGUGUUCAGGGCCUCUGGAGGGCCUGGUUCCCUGAGCCAGAAAAUCAGAGUCCUGUGGACAGUGCUGCUUUCUUCAUCAGGAUGCUUUAUAAAUCCUAAGUUCUUUCCAAAGCUUCAUUAAUAGAGAAACCAACUCUGUCCUUGAAAGACUGUUUUGUGGAAGUCAAAUGAUCCCCAUUCCUCCCAUUCACCAGAAGUGGGAUUCUGACCCUACACGGAGACCAGCACAGGCAGCUCUUCAUAGCCAUGCAGGGAUUUUGCUGGACAUAAUUCCUUGCCCACUGAUGUACACCACGUACCUGCCUAAGCACAACUUUAGCUGCAGAAGAGAGAUGAAAUAACAGAUACAAGACUGGAG